rnacentral:lncRNA from 1 species
CAUUCCGAUCGCAGCAGCCACCCACGUAUCACCUUGGUCUGGGGUGUAGCAGGCAUUGCCAGGGCUCAGCCAAAGCCGGGCUCCAGCUGCUCGUGGAGAUAACAAAGGCUUCUGUGGCCUCAUCUACUUCAUUGUGACGAGGUCGACGCUGUAAGGGGCCAAGUGGAUGAUUUAGCUCAACAGCUAAAUGAUGUUCUGGGAGAAGGGGACUGAGGCUGCCGUGGACAGUGGUCAUCUCGGGCUUCGAAGUCAAUGUGAAGUCAACGUCUAAUGGACCCGAGUUCAGCCAAGAACACACACCCGUUGUUCCAGGGAAGAAUCUCAUGGUGAAGCACUAGUGAGCGUCCAAGCAACUCCCAGCCUAACCUCACGGGUCUGACUGUGGGGCUGCUUCUGCCACGGCUCCUGGCUGGCGAUGGGGCUGUCAGCGUGUCAGCCAACCAUGCAUUGCAGAUGCACUUUGAAGAAAAUUAAUGUACCUGGGUACUUAUGGGACUCCCUGCAUGAGUGGGUAUAAUUGAAAUAGCCGGGACAUCAAAAAGCUGGAACACUGGGAGCCUGGCCCUAGGGUGGCGGAGGCCACAACGGAGCCCCCAGCCGGUUGGAAAGAGGCUUCCUAUGCUCUCCUUUCCAUGCCACUGCGGAAGUGCUGGGAACAGGAAGACCAGGGCAUUGCCAAGUGAAUAAUAACAACCAUGUGUGCGGCGUUCACGAUACCCCAGGCUCAGUGAGCCUUUUACUCAGGGUCUCAUGUGAUGCUGAAAACAAUCCCAUGAAGUUUAGAAGCCUGUGCACACGAAGAGACGUGGUGUUUCCCUAUUGAUCCAAACUGCAUGCUGACCUGUUCCUGCCAGGGCUGCGCUCCUCCUGCUUUGCCCUGGCUCUCCCGUUCUGCACUCCGUCUUCUACCGGGAAUUCCUGGAAGCACCUUUUAUUCACAGUGCCUGCUUUGAAUAGAUACAAAUACAAUUUGUAUCUUAUGUAGUCCAUUCCACACAAUUGAAAAUAUAAUGUAAUAAAAAUCAGAAAAGUA